rnacentral:rRNA from 1 species
CCUACGGGAGGCAGCAGUGAGGAAUAUUGGUCAAUGGACGAGAGUCUGAACCAGCCAAGUAGCGUGAAGGAUGACUGCCCUAUGGGUUGUAAACUUCUUUUAUAUGGGAAUAAAAUGUUCCACGUGUGGGAUUUUGUAUGUACCAUAUGAAUAAGGAUCGGCUAACUCCGUGCCAGCAGCCGCGGUAAUACGGAGGAUCCGAGCGUUAUCCGGAUUUAUUGGGUUUAAAGGGAGCGUAGGUGGAUUGUUAAGUCAGUUGUGAAAGUUUGCGGCUCAACCGUAAAAUUGCAGUUGAAACUGGCAGUCUUGAGUACAGUAGAGGUGUGCGGAAUACGUGGUGUAGCGGUGAAAUGCUUAGAUAUCACGAAGAACUCCGAUUGCGAAGGCAGUUCACUGGACUGCAACUGACACUGAGGCUCGAAAGUGUGGGUAUCAAACAGGAUUAGAUACCCCAGUAGUC